rnacentral:rRNA from 1 species
UACAGAGGGUGCGAGCGUUGUCCGGAAUUACUGGGCGUAAAGGGCUCGUAGGCGGCCAACUAAGUCGGACGUGAAAUCCCUCGGCUUAACCGAGGAACUGCCGUCCAAACUGCUUUGCUUGAGACCGGGAGAGGUGAGUGGAAUUCCCAGUGUAGCGGUGAAAUGCGUAGAUAUUGGGAGGAACACCAGUGGCGAAGGCGGCUCACUGGACCGGUACUGACGCUGAUGCGCGAAAGCGUGGGGAGCAAACGGG